AACGAACGCUGGCGGCAUGCCUAACGCAUGCAAGUCGAACGAAGGCUUCGGCCUUAGUGGCGCACGGGUGCGUAACGCGUGGGAAUCUGCCCCUAGGUUCGGAAUAACAGUUAGAAAUGACUGCUAAUACCGGAUGAUGACUUCGGUCCAAAGAUUUAUCGCCAAGGGAUGAGCCCGCGUAGGAUUAGGUAGUUGGUGGGGUAAAGGCCUACCAAGCCGACGAUCCUUAGCUGGUCUGAGAGGAUGAUCAGCCACACUGGGACUGAGACACGGCCCAGACUCCUACGGGAGGCAGCAGUGGGGAAUAUUGGACAAUGGGCGAAAGCCUGAUCCAGCAAUGCCUCGUGAGUGAUGAAGGCCUUAGGGUUGUAAAGCUCUUUUACCAGGGAUGAUAAUGACAGUACCUGGAGAAUAAGCUCCGGCUAACUCCGUGCCAGCAGCCGCCGUAA
rnacentral:rRNA from 1 species